AGUUCCUAAGAAGGAGAAAUCACUGUGAGCAAGAGAGGUUAGACAAGCCGUGUGAGAGAUGGUACUGCAUCCUGCCUUGGUCCUGAAGCCGGAAGUCCUUAGGAGGAGACCCCCCCGCCUCUUCUGCCAUGUGAGAUUGGAGUGAGAAGACAGCUAGCUCUGAAGAAGUGGGCCUUCACCACCAGCCACCGAACCAGGCUUGAUCUUGGACUUCCCAGCCUCCAGAAAUGUGACCAUGUAAACUUGAACGUGUUUCAUGUAAUUCAAGAAUACUAUCUACAGGAGGGGAGUAGCUAAGGUUUACAGGAAAAAAAUAGACAAUCCUUUACCAUCAAUGAACUUGAUUGGAGGAGGCAAGCAUGUACACACAGGAGCAGAUAUUAAAGGACUGAUUGAACUCUUAAGAGCUUAAUAAAGGUGAAGAAGAGAUAGG